GAAAAGUUGAGAGCGUUCGAGUGCCAGCAGCUGCUGGAGCUGGACCCGCUGGAGCGAGGAGGACCAGCCCGCAGCUUGUCAAACUGGGACUGGGGAGACCCCGCGGAGCGCCUGGCGUUUUGCACCUGUUCCUUCCACGCCAGGUCCUAGAGCUGAGCUUGGAUCACCGAAGAAGGCGCGCUCACAAGACAAGGCAGCUUACAGCAAAUCUGGGACCGAGCUCCACACCCCACAUUCAGUCCGAUGUGGUUUGGGGGUGUGUUGCAGUAGAGAUGGUCGGACUCCGAGCCGCUGGGGUCCGGGGCGAGCAGGUCACCCGGAUUUGGUGUGCCGAGCAGCGAGCCACGUCUAAAGGGAAAUGCAGUUCCCAGGCACCCUUGCAGCUAGGCCCGGUCACGUGACACGGAUCUGCCCAAUGGGAUGCGAAUGAAGGUCCAGGGGCGGGGCUUCUAGGGAAGACCAAAGUCCCGGAACCAAGAUGGCAGCA